rnacentral:lncRNA from 1 species
AUUAAUUGCUCCAGCAGAACCAUUGAUUUACAAAAGUAGAGCUCCAGAGUACAUAUUUGAGAAAAAGAGAAAAGAAAUCAGGAAAGGCAACAAAUGGCAAGAAUACAAAAUAUUUUGCAGAACAGUUGAUAACACACAAAUGAAUGGUUAAAUAGCAGAGCUAACUGGAAGGGGAAGGGGAGGUGAAGUGUGGUUGAAUGAGAUCUGAGGGGAUAUUUAUAGGCAAAUCGAUCUGAAGAAACAAAAUAAUAGAAGAGUCUCUGGAAAGCCUUCCACCUAUAACCCUCCAUCUACAUACCUAAUCCCAACUUCUGCUCAGAAUAGAAAUUACAGAUGAAUGCAAAACGUAUGAGAAGUGCUAAACCAAGUACCAAAUCCCCCAAAAAAAUGCACAUCUAAUCAACUAUAUCAGAUAAAAAAUUCAUAAAAAGGACGAAAUUAGGAGAAAACGUAUGAGAAGCGUUAAGAUACAAUGUGUUGAAGGCUUACCCACGUGAUGGUUGACAGGGAGAUGUGAUGGCCAUCACCGGAGAAUCCGUGGGAGCACGCUGAGGGUCGUGGAAAGUAAGUCUUUUGCGCCGAGUGACGUCGGUAACCGCUAGAAAUGGGGGAAAUCAGUGACGUUGAUACAGAGUAAGCGAGAAAUCAGGGGAAAAUGACGGAACGGUGCCGGCGGUGGCACGAUCUGGAAAGAAAGGGAGCGAUGGUGGUGGUGCUCGAUUUAGGUUUUGCUAAAGGUGGCGGUGCAAUU